CCAAACCCUUCGGUCCGUUUUGGUGGGUGGGGGGAGUACGGCCGGCUAACGCCCGGGUAAUACCGCAUACGGUUCUCGAGGGGAGUCCCUUGGGAAAGAAACCUCCGGGGCACAGAGAGGGGCUCGCGGCCUAUCAGCUAGUUGGGGGGGUAAUGGCCCACCAAGGCGACGACGGGUAGCUGGUCUGAGAGGAUGGCCAGCCACAUUGGGACUGAGAGACGGCCCAG
rnacentral:rRNA from 1 species